AGCAGCCGCGGUAAUUCCAGCUCCAAUAGCGUAUAUUAAAGUUGUUGCAGUUAAAAAGCUCGUAGUUGAAUUUCGGGAUUGACACAUCGGUCGUGCCUUAAGGGGUAUGAACUGGUGUAGUCAAUUUCUCACCUUCUGGAGAACCGCGAUGCCCUUAAUUGGGUGUCGCGGGGAACCAGGACCUUUACUUUGAAAAAAUUAGAGUGUUUAAAGCAGGCAUUUUGCUUGAAUACAUUAGCAUGGAAUAAUAAAAUAGGACGGCAUGAUUCUAUUUUGUUGGUUUCUAGGAUCACCGUAAUGAUUAAUAGGGAUAGUUGGGGGCAUUAGUAUUCAAUUGUCAGAGGUAAAAUUCUUGGAUUUAUUGAAGACUAACUACUGCGAAAGCAUUUGCCAAGGAUGUUUUCAUUAAUCAAGAACGAAAGUUAGGGGAUCGAAGACGAUCAGAUACCGUCGUAGUCUUAACCAUAAACUAUGCCGACUAGGAAUCAGACGAUGUUAAUUUUUUAAUGACUCGUUUGGC
rnacentral:rRNA from 1 species